GACGAACGCUGGCGGCGUGCUUAACACAUGCAAGUCGAACGGAAAGGCCCUGCUUUUGUGGGGUGCUCGAGUGGCGAACGGGUGAGUAACACGUGAGUAACCUGCCCUUGACUUUGGGAUAACUUCAGGAAACUGGGGCUAAUACCGGAUAGGAGCUCCUGCUGCAUGGUGGGGGUUGGAAAGUUUCGGCGGUUGGGGAUGGACUCGCGGCUUAUCAGCUUGUUGGUGGGGUAGUGGCUUACCAAGGCUUUGACGGGUAGCCGGCCUGAGAGGGUGACCGGCCACAUUGGGACUGAGAUACGGCCCAGACUCCUACGGGAGGCAGCAGUGGGGAAUAUUGCACAAUGGGCGGAAGCCUGAUGCAGCAACGCCGCGUGCGGGAUGACGGCCUUCGGGUUGUAAACCGCUUUCGCCUGUGACGAAGCGUGAGUGACGGUAAUGGGUAAAGAAGCACCGGCUAACUACGUGCCAGCAGCCGCGGUGAUACGUAGGGUGCGAGCGUUGUCCGGAUUUAUUGGGCGUAAAGGGCUCGUAGGUGGUUGAUCGCGUCGGAAGUGUAAUCUUGGGGCUUAACCCUGAGCGUGCUUUCGAUACGGGUUGACUUGAGGAAGGUAGGGGAGAAUGGAAUUCCUGGUGGAGCGGUGGAAUGCGCAGAUAUCAGGAGGAACACCAGUGGCGAAGGCGGUUCUCUGGGCCUUUCCUGACGCUGAGGAGCGAAAGCGUGGGGAGCGAACAGGCUUAGAUACCCUGGUAGUCCACGCUGUAAACGGUGGGUACUAGGUGUGGGGUCCAUUCCACGGGUUCCGUGCCGUAGCUAACGCUUUAAGUACCCCGCCUGGGGAGUACGGCCGCAAGGCUAAAACUCAAAGGAAUUGACGGGGCCCCGCACAAGCGGCGGAGCAUGCGGAUUAAUUCGAUGCAACGCGUAGAACCUUACCUGGGUUUGACAUGGAUCGGGAGCGCUCAGAGAUGGGUGUGCCUCUUUUGGGGUCGGUUCACAGGUGGUGCAUGGCUGUCGUCAGCUCGUGUCGUGAGAUGUUGGGUUAAGUCCCGCAACGAGCGCAACCCUUGUUCACUGUUGCCAGCACGUUAUGGUGGGGACUCAGUGGAGACCGCCGGGGUCAACUCGGAGGAAGGUGGGGAUGACGUCAAGUCAUCAUGCCCCUUAUGUCCAGGGCUUCACGCAUGCUACAAUGGCUGGUACAGAGAGUGGCGAGCCUGUGAGGGUGAGCGAAUCUCGGAAAGCCGGUCUCAGUUCGGAUUGGGGUCUGCAACUCGACCUCAUGAAGUCGGAGUCGAUAGUAAUCGCAGAUCAGCAACGCUGCGGUGAAUACGUUCCCGGGGCU
rnacentral:rRNA from 1 species